rnacentral:rRNA from 1 species
AAUAGAUACCCUGGUAGUCCACGCCGUAAACGAUGAGUGCUAGGUUUUGCGGGUAUCGACCCCUGCAGUGCCGUAGUUAACACAAUAAGCACUCCGCCUGGGGAGUACGGUCGCAAGACUGAAACUCAAAGGAAUUGACGGGGGCCCGCACAAGCGGUGGAGUAUGUGGUUUAAUUCGACGCAACGCGAAGAACCUUACCAGGGCUUGACAUCCUCUGAAAGCCGUAGAGAUACGGUCCUUAGUCUUCGGACUAACAGAGAGACAGGUGGUGCAUGGUUGUCGUCAGCUCGUGUCGUGAGAUGUUGGGUUAAGUCCCGCAACGAGCGCAACCCCUAACAUUAGUUGCCAGCGAGUGAAGUCGGGAACUCUAAUGUGACUGCCGUUGACAAAACGGAGGAAGGUGGGGAUGACGUCAAAGUCAUCAUGCCCCUUAUGUCCUGGGCUACACACGUACUACAAUGGCCGGUACAGACGGAGGCGAAGCUGUGAAGCGGAGCAAAACUGAGAAAGCCGGUCCCAAGUUCGGAUUGUAGUCUGCAACUACG